GCCGUAUUCAUAAAAAAUCCUUAAAUGAGGAAUGAUCAGCUUAUUAGCUAAUCCACUGUUUAGGCUUAAUAAGCCGUUGAUAAGAACCAUGAUUUAUAAACGUUUAUUAGGGGUUUCUUAACUAAUAAGCAGAUUAGACCCGUUAUGUUGGCAUCUUGGCACAUCAUAGACAAAAAUAUGGCUGAACAUUAAUUAAAAAAAAAAGUUUGACAGCAGCACUAGCGGUAAAUCAUAAAAUCCUGAACAAUACGAUGCACAAUUUUGACCAGUUUUCUGGGUUAUUAUAUAUUAAAAUAGCCUCUGCAUCACAAAAACAAAUAAAUAAUAUUGCACGGCCGGAAGUUUUACGAAACUCGGUAAGCAACCACCUAUAUCAUAGUCUGAUAAUCAGAUAUGUUACGAGUAAAGUUCAUUGCAAGAUUUGCAAGCAAUAUUGAUAAAACUAUGUGUUAUUGCUUAUAGUUUAAAUAUAUUGUGGAAUGAGGGAAAGAGGGCAGUUGCACAUCUCAAGUCAAGAAUUCUGCCUGCGCGCCAUCGCCACCGUAAUACCACGGAUUCCAACACAUUUUGUUCUGGUGGCGAAACACAAACGAUAUUGACACUAUUCAUAUCAAAUGAUCGGUGAAGAUAAAUCAGGUGAGCAAGAUUUGGUUAUUCAUUUCUUAACGUAAAAUGUUGUAGUAUUUUUAUGAACAUACCUCGACACCCAAAAAAUUAUGGCCUCUUCAUUUUUAAUUUGACGUACUAUCGGUGUUUUUUAGAAGAGCAGAGCUAACUAAGCUAGUUAGGAGCUGUUUAUAAUUAGAAUUAGUGAAUAACAUACUUAACCAACCACACGAUGGAACCAAUUUAUCAGUGAAGUGGUGAUUUAUCUUAAAAACCUUUUUUGUUCGCCUAGGGCGCAGAGUUAAAGAUAAGCGCUUAUAUAUGCAACUUGACAAUGACAAUGUUUGCAGUGAAACAUCUCAGCCAAUAGCCGCAUUAAAAGGCAAACUGCACAAUUCAUAAUGAGGCAGAAAUGUUCAUUAUUCACAGGAGUGUCGCUGUUGGUUGUGAGUAUUCCAUCAUCAGCUAUUUGUCCGGAGCUGGCUACACAAUCCGGAGGCCACACUCUUCUGGCAUCUAACCGGCCUGCACACCGCCAUCAAAUGAAGUUGGUUGUACUGAAAUAAAGAAAAAAUAUUAACUAGUUUAAUGAUUGUCAAAUGUAAUAAAAUUGUUUUAUUUAAGUGGGUUGUUUGAUUUCCCUAAAUUAACACAUGAAAUAUGUUGAUAUGUUAUAAUAAAAAUCUCAGUUAAAAACUCA